UUGUGUGCGAUGUGGGUUCCUUCUUGAAGCGCUUAAAUUUGAGCAUUGCUCGGCUGAUUUUCCUGGAGCUUCCAAGUGCCACAAAGCAGUUUCGAAUGUGAUUCAUGAAUCAUGAAUGAAGGCCCCACCAUAGACCCAACGGAUGAACAGCAGGAUCUCCACUUACCAGAAGACUUCGGCAGACACUUCUAAUAUGCGACCAAAAUAAAGGAAUUUUCUUAUCAAAUUAGUUUUGAACCAUUUUAGUCCGCAAAUUUUUAGUCCCUAAAGCCCAAAAUCGUAUGCUUCUGCAAGUAUAGGAUGCCAUUGAUUCUAGAAUGAUUAUGGAAUAAGAUUCGCUGCGGGACUGCAAUGGACAUUCGAUGCAGCAGAGGCGAUAACAGGCCCCAAAAGGAGGCA